rnacentral:rRNA from 1 species
UACGUAGGGUGCAAGCGUUAAUCGGAAUUACUGGGCGUAAAGCGUGCGCAGGCGGUUGUGCAAGACAGAUGUGAAAUCCCCGGGCUUAACCUGGGAAUUGCAUUUGUGACUGCACGGCUAGAGUGUGUCAGAGGGGGGUAGAAUUCCACGUGUAGCAGUGAAAUGCAUAGAUAUGUGGAGGAAUACCGAUGGCGAAGGCAGCCCCCUGGGAUAACACUGACGCUCAUGCACGAAAGCGUGGGGAGCAAACAGG